GCCGGCGGCGGGGGCGCCGGCGGCAUGUCGGAGUCGGUGCUCCGCAAGGUGCUCCUCUCCUACUGCUACGUCGGCGUCUGGAUCUUCCUCUCCUUCGCCGUCAUCGUCUACAACAAGUACAUCCUCGACCCCAAGAUGUACAACUGGCCCUUCCCGAUCUCCCUCACCAUGGUCCACAUGGCCUUCUGCUCCUCCCUCGCCGUCGCCCUCGUCCGCCUCCUCCGCGUCGUCGAGCCGCCCUCGUCGCCCGCCAUGACCCCGCAGCUCUACACCUCCUCCGUUGUUCCCAUCGGCGCGCUCUACGCCAUGUCGCUGUGGUUCUCCAACUCGGCCUACAUCUACCUCUCCGUGUCCUUCAUCCAGAUGCUCAAG
rnacentral:lncRNA from 1 species